AACGAACGCUGGCGGCAAGCUUAACACAUGCAAGUCGAACGAUCCCUUCGGAGGUAGUGCCAGAAGUGUGAUUAAGACGUGGGGACGUCCGUUUCAGUCAGGAGCAACUCAUGGGAAGGUGAGCUAAUAGCAGAUACGUCGUUAUGGGAAAAGAUUUAUCGCUUAAAGAUCGGCCCGCGUGUCAUUAGCUUGUUGGUGGGGUAAUGGCCUACCAAGGCGACGAUCAGUAGCUGGUCUGAGAGGAUGAUCAGCCACACUGGGACUGAGACACGGCCCAGACUCCUACGGGAGGCAGCAGUGGGGAAUAUUGGACAAUGGGGGCAAGCCCGAUCCAGCCAUGCCGCGUGAGUGAUGACGGACUUAGGUUUGUAAACCCCUUUCGACGGGGACGAUAAUGACGGUACCCGUAGAAGAAGCCCCGGCUAACUUCGUGCCAGCCGCCGCCGUAA
rnacentral:rRNA from 1 species